rnacentral:lncRNA from 1 species
CCGGUGUGGUGAAACAGUUCGUUUAUCUGGUUCAACGGCAUUAGACGUUAUCAGUUUAGUGAACAGUAUAAGAAAGUUGUUAAGCUAUGAUACUGACCACAAAGGAAGAAAAGUUGGGACUCUAACCUAAUUCUUUCUUAGGCAUUGUGCUGGUAAACGAAAAUGUUGAAGAUCGUUGAGGAAUUCGUGGAGAAGGUGAUGGUGAAACACCUUUGCUGCAUCAUGUUUGUAUCAUC